rnacentral:miRNA from 1 species
UUUCUCGGGUAGUGCGCAUUCCU